AGAGUUUGAUCCUGGCUCAGAAUCAACGCUGGCGGCGUGCCUAACACAUGCAAGUCGCACGAGAAAGUGGAGCAAUCCAUGAGUAAAGUGGCGUACGGGUGAGUAACACGUGACUAACCUACCCUCGAGUGGGGAAUAACUUCGGGAAACCGAGGCUAAUACCGCAUAACACCGAGAGGUCAAAGCAGAAAUGCGCUUGG
rnacentral:rRNA from 1 species